GCACCUGCGGUAAUUCCAGCUCCAAUAGCGUAUAUUAAAGUUGUUGCAGUUAAAAAGCUCGUAGUUGAACUUCUGUACAGUCUCACUUCUGGCUUCGGUCAAGGUGUUGGCUGUGCAUCCGCUUGCAAAGCUGGUUCGGCCUUAACUGGUCGGCUAGUAGAGUAAGCCCUUUACUUUGAAAAAAUUAGAGUGUUUCAGGCAGGCAAUGGCUCGAAUACAUUAGCAUGGAAUAAUGGAAUAGGACUUUUGUCCAUUUGGUUGGUUCUUGGACUUAAGUAAUGAUUAAAAGGGACAGUUGGGGGCAUUGGUAUUUAACAGUCAGAGGUGAAAUUCUUGGAUUUGUUAAAGACUAACUUAUGCGAAAGCAUUUGCCAAGGAUGUUUUCAUUAAUCAAGAACGAAAGU
rnacentral:rRNA from 1 species